GAUGAACGCUCGCUACAGGCUUAACACAUGCAAGUCGAGGGGAAACGACAUCGAAAGCUUGCUUUUGAUGGGCGUCGACCGGCGCACGGGUGAGUAACGCGUAUCCAACCUGCCCACCACCUGGGGAUAACCUUGCGAAAGUAAGACUAAUACCCAAUGAUAUCCCACGAAGACAUCUGAAUGGGAUUAAAGAUUUAUCGGUGAUGGAUGGGGAUGCGUCUGAUUAGCUUGUUGGCGGGGUAACGGCCCACCAAGGCAACGAUCAGUAGGGGUUCUGAGAGGAAGGUCCCCCACAUUGGAACUGAGACACGGUCCAAACUCCUACGGGAGGCAGCAGUGAGGAAUAUUGGUCAAUGGGCGAGAGCCUGAACCAGCCAAGUAGCGUGCAGGAAGACGGCCCUAUGGGUUGUAAACUGCUUUUAUAAGGGAAUAAAGUGGGUCACGUGUGACUUUUUGCAUGUACCUUAUGAAUAAGGACCGGCUAAUUCCGUG
rnacentral:rRNA from 1 species